CAAAAGACGUAACAGUGCCUGUUCCAGGGCUGUUUGCAUUCAGUGAAGCAUAUCAAAAUAAUGGCCAUGAUUUGCCCUCAUAAUUCAUACGAUGGUGUUUUCUUUCCUAAGCACAACGGAAAGCUCACAUGAUUACAUUAUAAAAUAAAACAUAUCUGCCAAACAUUUCAUUAUCUUUUGUUUUACCAUUCUCAUCCCAAUACCAAAUAACCCCUUGAAGUAGGGUUUAGUGGCUAAAAGAAGGAUUUCAAAUCAGAUAGAUUGGGUUAAGAUGCAGAUAAAUUGCCCUUCAGCCAUGUUCUGCAUGUAAAAUAUAACUAAAAUACGUCACAUGUAUUGCUUGGAAUAUUUAAAGAAAUUAAAUAUGUAAAGCAUUUACUCAAUAGAUGAUAGGAAGUGUGCCUGUACAUUAGCACAAACAACAGUAGAAUUUUGUGAGUUUUCAAAUUAUAUAAUUGAGUACACUAAUAUCCACUUAUUUGAUCUUCAUUCAUUGACCUGAUUUUCCUUUAUUCAGAUAGCAAAUAGAACAGCGUUUCUUCUUUAGUUUUUAAAAUAAAUAGCUGUACAUAUUCUGCAUUUGUUUACUUUAUGAGAAUUUUAACAAUUUCCCUUUCUGUCUCAAAUGUAAAUGUUUUUUCUCUGUUAAGCACAUAAAACCUAUUAGAAAUAUAUCUUCUCUUUGUUUUUAGCUAACCAUAGGGAGAGAAGUCAUAUUGUGAACAAGUUAUUUUUCUGAGACUUUAUAAAGAUUAAAAAGUCAAAAGAGGAGUUCCCCUCGUGGCUCAGUGGUUAAUGAAUCUGACUAGGAACCAUGAGGUUGCAGGUUUGAUCCCUGGCCUCGCUCAGUGGGUUAAGGAUCCUGCGCUGCUGUGAGCUGUGAUGUAAGUUGUAGAUGUGGCUCCGACCUAGCGUUGCGUGGCUGUGGCGUAUGGCAGCAACAGCUCCAAUUCGACCCCUAGCCUGGGAACCUCCAUAUGCAGUGGGUGCAGCCCUAAAAAGGACAAAAAGAACAACAACUAAAAAAAGUCAAAAGGAUAAGUUUAAACCAAAAAUUGUCCUUUUUUAAAAAUAUGUUUCUCUACUUUUCAUAUUCACUCAACUUUUUGUUAUUGCUUUCUUUGUAAAUAAAGUUUAGUGUUUUAAGUUCAUACCAGGAAAUAGAUUUUUCCCCCCGAUUUUCUUUUUUAAAGAGGUAGUGGUACUUCAUGAAAUUAACUUUUUCAAAUUAUUUCUUAGUUAUUUGUAUUUGAUUUUGACAUUGACUGUUAGGAAUUCAUAAUACUAAUGGCAUCAUUCAUAUGCCAUAAACUUCUUACCAGUUAUAGAUUCCACUUGCUUCAAAUAUGAGUGACAAUGGAUAUUUAUGUAUCUCUACUUUCUUUUCCUACUAGUUCUUUGGAAUUUUCCUAACCUGAAAUAUUUAUAGAAUUCAUAACGUCUUUUAUUGUGUCAGUAUCUCUCAAUACUUCUACUAAUGCCUAAACUGAAAAUGUCAUGUUAAAUCACUGUAAAACAUGUAUUAAUUUCCUCAUGUAAACCAUAUUGUUAAUUAUUUUGAAGGGGAACUAGAGAGACAUGGUCUCUGCACUCUAGAAUUUUAAAAUGUAAUCUAUUUGAUGUUUACAUAAGGAAAAUGCCAAAGGAAAUAUAAUCGUAUAUAACACAGAUUAGAACUAAGGGAAGAGAUGCAAUGGAACUUAGAACAUAGUAACUAUAAACAUGAAAUAGUCAACAUAAUUGAAACAUCAAUCCUUUGAGCUUUGUGACCAUCUGCUAUUCAAUAAGCAUUAACCUAAAAUGAAAUUUUGUAUAGACUAAUAAGUUAAUAAGAUCUUAUUCUUCCAAUGUAUUACAAAAACAAGUAGCCACUCUGUAAUAUUCCUUAGAUAUUCUUCAGAAAGCAUCAGAAUCUCAAAUAAUGAAGCUAUGAAAUAAGACAGUUUUAAAGAGAUAUCUAACAGUGCAUAUUUGUUGUUAAAUAAGUGAAAGGAAUUCUAUAUUUAAAUGAUUAUACAUAUGUUGAAUAAUAUAACAGAAAUGUCCAGCUUGAUAAGGGUAGAAAACUUUUUUAAAAACCAAAUAGAGCUGUAAAUCAACUCUACUUUUAAAAAA
rnacentral:lncRNA from 1 species